CGCCGCCCUGCCCGGAGCCGGCCGGCGGUCCCCGGCACCCAGCGCGGAAGCUCGCCCGCGGAGGUCGUGACGGGAGGCUGGACCGCGGUGGCGCGCGGCUCGCCUACCGUCAGGUGUUCCUUUGAUACAGUGGAUGGUGACUCUGCUCUUCUGCCUGCGAGUGGUUCAAAAUGUCUUCGGCAUCUGGAGGGAGUACCAAGGUGGGAGUUUUACAGUAAAUAUUGAAACCCCGCAAAGCAGCCCUGUCUGGCCAGAGAGCUUCUGGGCAUUUCCUAAGACUCAGUCUUCUGGGACUUCUUCCUGAUCGAAAGGAUUCUUCAGUUUCAAAAUCAAAGUAAAAUCUCUGGCAAAAAACACCGAAAUCGAGUUGAGCAUCUCUGUCAGCAAAUUCCGCUUCCCAGAGAACCGUCUCUACAGGCAGAAACACAGGUGUGGCCAAGGAGGAGAAUUGCCGUUGUCACCAUUUUACGGAUGAGGAAACUGUCGGCUAAUCAUUGGAAGUCUGUCUCACUGACAUUUACCCUUCCACCCCAGGUACCCAGGAGGUCUCUGGAAUGAAGGAGGCUGGACAUCCUGUUUUGUAUCCAGAAUAAGGACGGAGAGGCUCAACAGUGCCUACAGGUCAGUAGGGUUUUUUCUGGGCCUCAUGAUAAGGGUUCUGAGUUGGCUGUAG